rnacentral:misc_RNA from 1 species
GACCUCUUCAUUACAUGAUAUCUUACAAUAUUCACAAGAGAAUGCGUGGGGGAGCAGACCUUUUUGUACUCCUCCCUCAACAUAUACCAUCUAUAACAGCUGACAAUUUCUUAUUUAACUGUGACAAAAAUUAUGUCAACCUGUAACUACCCUAAACAUAUAUCAGUGUUUUCAUUCAGGGUGGCAACACUUGUUUCACUUUAGUGGUUGAAGUUCUUGUUCACGCACAACACUUUCAACACUUUCAACACGUUCAUAUGGAACAGCUGAUUCUUUCCCUCGUCUCCAUAUUAACCAUCCUACGAAAGCUGAUAAUCCAACUAUCAAGACAACUGACAAAGCUACAACUACGAUCAAGUAACUUCGCCACCAUCCACUCCUUUUUGGUGGGGGCUCAAUACCCCAUUCAAAUAAUUUGUAACUCCCAAAUGUAUCAGGA